rnacentral:tRNA from 1 species
UCCCUGGUGGCUGAGAUGGUAAAGUGUCUGCCUACAAUGUGGGAGACCUGGGUUUGAUUCCUGGUUUGGGAA